GUGUUGCGGUGAUGAAGCUUAAGUGGACUAGAGUUUCUGAUCUUAUUGGUUGAGGACAAACCCUUGGCUGUCUGAGCAAACAC
rfam:Beta vulgaris subsp. vulgaris chromosome 3, whole genome shotgun sequence.